rnacentral:rRNA from 1 species
AGUGAACGCUGGCGGUAGGCCUAACACAUGCAAGUCGAACGGCAGCACAGUAAGAGCUUGCUCUUACGGGUGGCGAGUGGCGGACGGGUGAGGAAUACAUCGGAAUCUACUUUUUCGUGGGGGAUAACGUAGGGAAACUUACUCUAAUACCGCAUACGACCUACGGGUGAAAGCAGGGGAUCUUCGGACCUUGCGCGAUUGAAUGAGCCGAUGUCGGAUUAGCUAGUUGGCGGGGUAAUGGCCCACCAAGGCGACGAUCCGUGGCCGGUCUGGGAGGAUGAUCAGCCACACUAGAACUGGGACACGGACAAGACUCCUACGGGAGGCAGCAGUGGGGAAUAUUGGACAAUGGGCGCAAGCCUGGUCCAGCCAUACCGCGUGGGUGAAGAAGGCCUUCGGGUUGUAAAGCCCUUUUGUUGGGAAAGAAAAGCAGCAGGUUAAUACCCCGCUGUUCUGACGGUACCCAAAGAAUAAGCACCGGCUAACUUCGUG